rnacentral:pre_miRNA from 1 species
GGAACAGAUUAUUGUAUUCGACUGUAUUUACGGCGUGAAACAGGGGAUUACACUGUUUUUAAACGGAAAGUGAAUCAAUUAACAUAAUAGACUCCU